UACGUAGGUGGCGAGCGUUGUCCGGAUUUACUGGGCGUAAAGGGAGCGUAGGCGGACCUUUAAGUGAGAUGUGAAAUACUCGGGCUCAACUUGAGUGCUGCAUUUCAAACUGGAAGUCUAGAGUGCAGGAGAGGAGAAUGGAAUUCCUAGUGUAGCGGUGAAAUGCGUAGAGAUUAGGAAGAACACCAGUGGCGAAGGCGAUUCUCUGGACUGUAACUGACGCUGAGGCUCGAAAGCGUGGGGAGCAAACAGG
rnacentral:rRNA from 1 species